UGAGACCCCUCGCACGGCGUCCAUCCUGUGAACCUCCCCAGGGCCGGAAGGCAGCAAGGAUAAGCAGGCUCUGACGGGUGUGCGGGGGGUCCCCUGU
rnacentral:SRP_RNA from 1 species